UCAACAACAAAAGACUCCUCACGCUACAACCUUACCGCUUCACAUACACAAACGCCGCUUCCCACAGGCCACAAACAUAGUUUUCUUCCCACAGGGAUUUGUUACUCACUGUUGCCCUACUUAUCUCACUUUUCAUACUCUAUCGAUUCAUCUCUAAUCUUUCAUCUCUAUUUUUAAUUUCCUUCUGCAACUUCUCGCUACCUUGACCUUUGUUAAAAUUCUUCAAACGCAACUCUCUCUAACUUCUUUGUUCUAUUUAUUUUUUUAGGGGAAAGGAAAAUCUGCUUUAUUCACUGCUAACCUCUAGGUUUUUCCCUCGCCACAGUUUUCCUCACCAAAUGCCAAUGAAGCCUAGGAAACAAAAUAUAUUUUUGCCCACUGUUUGUAAUCCUUUCAAAGUCAAUAUUUACCAUUUUUUUAUUCUUCUAAAAUUGUUUACAUCCUAAUCUUACUGUAUAGGUGUGGACAACCAAUGAUUGGGGUGCCAAAAUACCGUAAAGAGAUUGAGGUGUGGACAACCAAUGAUUGGGGUGCCAAAAUACCGUGAAGAGAUUGAGGUUGAAGUGAAGAUUUUCACACUAUCAUGGGUGCAAAUUGGAUAUCCUUCUCUCAAAUAUUUACCAAAGUUGUUAUCAAAAUCUAAAGACAACGCAAACGAUCAUUACAUAUGAUAUUGUGGAGUAAGGAACUUUACCAAGUGAAUAUUGUGACUUACUCUUGCAAUAACUUAUUCUGAUUACAAUUGUUUGGUUAUCUUUAUGUCAAGGCUAUAUAUGGAGUGGAAAGAAUAACUAUUUAAUCCGGUAUAUAACAUUUUCACUGUAUGCAAGCCCAUUUCAUUCUAACUAUGUGUUUUAAAUAAACUAAGGUUAUCAAAAGUUUACUUUUACAAAUUAAAGUAUGUUGCCAUGUGUUUGCAGAUUCGGUUUAUUUUAGAACUCAGUUAGUUCAAAUGGUAAACAACUUAAUGUUCACGGUUUGCAAGUUAGGAUUUAUUUAUAGUCGUUGUUUAUAUAAAUUCAGAUAGAAACUUGCAUUUUGUAGUUAAAUCUUCUGUUGCUCCUCUACCUUCCUCUCUUCCUAUUAUUUUUCAUAUAGCAGCUUUUUGGUUUAAAUAUGUAUUGCUACGUAGUAAAGCAUUGUUCAAUAAUUCAUUUUUUUCUGUUGUCUGAUGCAUAUAUGACACGAAAUAUAGUGGGAGAUUGGCCAUAUAUAAGGUGUCUUUGUAAAUGGAGGUCCUAUUCUUCUGAUAUUUAUUGUUGUCUAUUUUCAGGAAAAUAUGACACAAAGCUGCUUGAAGAGUAUGUCUUUGUUAUUGUAAAAGAAGUUCAUUACAUGUUUGUGUCAAUGUUAGACUAUGAGUUUAGAUUAAUUGAUUAUGUAAAAAGUGAGGGUGAGAGAAAGAAGAAAUAAGAAAGAAAAGGGUCGGAUGAAUAAGUACUCAAGUAACGGAGAGAUAUAUUUGAUUGAUUCUUUUCCUUUUUUUUUCAA